AGAGCCUCGGCUCUUAUCCUGUGGACUUCAUGCUUUCGUCUAUCUUUAGCUUCCGCUGUUAUCAUCAGUUUCUUUCGCUUUCAAUUUUCGUUUUCCCCAAUUUUCUAAAUCCCUAGCCUCAUAUCUCUAAGUUUCAUGCCCAGUCUAUUAAUUCGAAGCCGAUAAAUCCUCAAAUCGGAUUUCAUCAUCGUUACCCAGCCUUUUUCUCCUCUUCUUGUCACGCUCUGACAGAGAAUUUGGAAAUCUGAAUUCGGGACUUAGGGUCUGCAUCUGAGUCUGCUUCCAGUCCUCAACUUUGCUCUUUGUUCAGUCAUCUCUGUCGUCUCCUUUGG
rnacentral:lncRNA from 1 species